CCUCCGGCUUGGUGCCGAGAAUAUAUUCUUUUCAUGCGCGCAUGUCUUAUUUUGCUUGAAGAACUAGCAAGAAAGGCAUCUAAGCCGUAAAUUAUUUUAAAGAAUGGGCUCUAAUGACCUAACAAACUUUAAUAUAGCCUAUAUUAUUGAGUCAUCCCAUUAAGUAUAGCCAGUAUUUCCUACCCAUGCAUUCAUCAUGCUGCGGACAACCUGGCUGUUGAUUUAUACUGCCAUUUAUUCCACAUGAAAUGAGCAGAGAUUACAUAUUCUAUUCAAAUUCAUAUAAUGGGCUGACUGCGUGUGUGUCUGUAUAAGAGAGUGAGUGCUUUUUCAUUUUCUAGAAGUUUACCCGGCUCUUUUUACAAUUCACAUCCAACCGUUUAGCAGGAAGUUCACACGGUGCAACAAUGUUGGAGGUCUGGGAGUUGAAUGUUUUUUUCAGCUGUCAUUUACAGGUAUCACCAGGACAAUUAAUGUGGGAACUCAGUGUCUUUCUCUUUCAACUCAUACGCACCUCAUUGUCACAGGAGUCACUGCAUCAAGUAGGAGAGGACCCUCUGAUUACAGCUCCGCAACCUCUUCAGCCUCAUGAAUCAGCCAUGACGACUAAUGAUGACAGACAGGGAGGGACUGUGGGGGCCCAGGUGGCUCUUUCAUUUCUUUUUAACCAAAAUGAUUUUAGUGUCCCGUGUCUGCAAUCGCCACCUCAUUGGACACACCUGCUGCAGAUUUCCCUUGAUUUGGGUCGUCCGGAGUUUCCGGAAGUGACAAGGGUUUACACAUUUCCGGUCCGGGCGGAACUUCUCCUCUCACUUUUUAGUUCCGCCCUCAAAGUCACUUCGUGACACAAACUUUUGAACCGUAGUGUAUGCGGACAUGGUUACAGUUGUUAUGAAAAGAGAGAAAAAUUAUUUGUGACUGUAUAGAAGUGUGUUAUGAACUUGCAAAAUAAUGACUAAAAUAACCAACAGUCCUAAUUAGUAAUAUUUUUAAAUAAAACAGAAUAUCCAAGCA
ensembl:lncRNA